AAUCAGAUGCGGUUGCUGGGCGGAACAGAAUCAACUGACGAAUUGGCAUUGGCAACGUCACGUGUCGUCAUCAGUCAUGACUUCCUGUGCGGAGCGUAGAGAGGUACAGAUUAAAACCAACGCCUGAGGCCUUGGCUCGGUUUGUUAGUGGAGUGAGAACACUUAAUCACCGAAGAAACCUGGGUGCUAAAACAACCUUUGCAGCUUUUUUGUCCGACGCAAGUGGGGCUGGACGCUGAACAUACCCGCGGCAUGAAGGUGUCAUCACUUCAUCCACGACUUCGUCCAUGAUCGCAGAGACAUGGUCCAUGAUCGGAGAGACAUUGUUGAGGAUGAGGGAGACAUCGUCCACGAUCAGAGACGUCGUCUGUGAUCACAGAGACCUUGUCAAAGAUGAGAGAGACGUUGUCCAUGAUCAGAGACAUUGUCCCAUGCUUCGUAGAGACCUUGCGAUAGAAUCGGCGGAGACGGGGGUCACCGAUUUGACGGCACUGCCCGCGAUCAUGGAGACAUUGUCAAUGGUCAAAGAGACAGCGUCUAGGAUCUCAGAGACAUCGUCCACGAUCACAAAGACAUUGUCCAUGAUCACAGAGACUUUGUCCAUAAUCUCAGAGACAUUGUCCGCGAUCACAGAGACGUAGUCCACGAUCAGAGUCUUCAUACAGUGAAGAAGUUCUUCAAGACCAGGACAGAGGCCUCCAGGUGUCACCACUUCGUCCAUGAUCACAGAGACAUGGUCCAUGAUCGGUGAGACAUUGUUGAGGAUGAGGGAGACAUCGUCCACGAUCAGAGACGUCGUCUAUGAUCGCAGAGACCUUGUCAAAGACGAGAGAGACGUUGUCCAUGAUCAGAGACAUUGUCCCAUGCUUCGUAGAGACCUUGCGAUAGAAUCGGCGGAGACGGGGGUCACCGAUUUGACGGCACUGCCCGCGAUCAUGAAGACAUUGUCAAUGGUCAAAGAGACAGCGUCUAGGAUCUCAGAGACAUCGUCCACGAUCACAAAGACAUUGUCCAUGAUCACAGAGACUUUGUCCAUAAUCUCAGAGACAUUGUCCGCGAUCACAGAGACGUAGUCCACGAUCAGAGUCUUCAUACAGUGAAGAAGUUCUUCGAGACCAGGACAGAGGCCUCCAGGUGUCACCACUUCGUCCAUGAUCGCAGAGACAUGGUCCAUGAUCGGAGAGACAUUGGUGAGGAUGAGGGAGACAUCGUCCACGAUCAGAGACGUCGUCUAUGAUCGCAGAGACCUUGUCAAAGACGAGAGAGACGUUGUCCAUGAUCAGAGACAUUGUCCCAUGCUUCGUAGAGACCUUGCGAUAGAAUCGGCGGAGACGGGGGUCACCGAUUUGAAGGCAUUGCCCGCGAUCAUGAAGACAUUGUCAAUGGUCAAAGAGACAGCGUCUAGGAUCUCAGAGACAUCGUCCACGAUCACAAAGACAUUGUCCAUGAUCACAGAGACUUUGUCCAUAAUCUCAGAGACAUUGUCCGUGAUCACAGAGACGGAGUCCACGAUCAGAGUCUUCAUACAGCAAAGAAGUUCUUCGAGACCAGGACAGAGGCCUCCAGUCGACAAUCACAUCGUCCAUGAUCACAGAGAGUCUUCGUACAAUUAAGAAAUUCUUUGAGACCAGGACAGACCAGAGGCCUCCAGAUACACGGGGGAGAAGGAGAGAGGGAAAGGGAGUCAGUGCUCUGUGUUGCACAGAUGAUGUAAAGCUGUUUGUGAAUUACCUGGAGGCCUCUGUCCUGCUUUCAGAUAACUUCACUGUUGGAAGACUCUCUGUG